AUCACACGACUCCCCUACGUUUGUGCGCGCCUCCGCCGAGGGUGACAGCGUGUCGCUCGGUUGCAGAGACUAAACCGCGUUACACAGGCGGGUGGUGCAUUGUGUAAAUAUGCAUGUGGCUAAGCCGAAGAGCUCGACUCGGCGAAAUCGAGCGCGCUUGAGAACGACGACGACACGACGUCAAUGGGCGUCGAACCAAGACUCGUCGUCGUUAUCAUCGUUCGACGUCAUUACCGUGAGCCGUCGAAGCGAAUACUCCAUCUGCCAAAGUAGUAAUAUCAUGGACCGUCGUCUUUGUACUCAUGAUGGCUCGUUAACGAUCCGGCAAUAAUAUUUCACCCUCGUAUCGAUAACGGAGCGCGUCGGUGUACACACAUGGAUAUGAACGCGAGAGGACAGGAGCACGCGCUCGAAGCAACAACCUGUGUGCGGCGUGAAUAUUAGAUUUCACACUUCGUGAAGAUGUCGCGCUAUAAUAGCACGUAAUAGCGCGUGCACGAAGAGGAGAUAAAGCCCCACGGAAAUGGUUCGCCAAUCUUCACUGCAUUGUUUCGA